rnacentral:rRNA from 1 species
UACAGAGGUCUCAAGCGCUGUUCGGAUUCAUUGGGCGUAAAGGGUGUGUAGGUGGCGCCGUAAGUCGGGUGUGAAAUUUCGGAGCUUAACUCCGAAACUGCAUUCGAUACUGCGGUGCUUGAGGACUGGAGAGGAGACUGGAAUUCAUGGUGUAGCAGUGAAAUGCGUAGAGAUCAUGAGGAAGACCAGUGGCGAAGGCGGGUCUCUGGACAGUUCCUGACACUGAGACACGAAGGCCAGGGGAGCAAACGGG